rnacentral:rRNA from 1 species
CGCGUAGGCGGACCACCAAGUCCGGGGUGAAAUCCUCCGGCUUAACCGGAGAAUUGCCUGGGAUACUGGUGGUCUUGAGGGAGGUAGGGGCACGCGGAACUUCCGGUGGAGCGGUGAAAUGCGUUGAUAUCGGAAGGAACGCCGGUGGCGAAAGCGGCGUGCUGGCCCUCUUCUGACGCUGAGGCGCGAAAGCCAGGGGAGCGAACG